CAGCCGCCGCGGGAAUACGAAGGGGGCUAGCGUUGCUCGGAAUGACUGGGCGUAAAGGGCGCGUAGGCGGCGAUCAAAGUCAGGCGUGAAAUUCCUGGGCUCAACCUGGGGGCUGCGCUUGAUACUUGGUUGCUUGAGUGGGGAAGAGGGUCGUGGAAUUCCCAGUGUAGAGGUGAAAUUCGUAGAUAUUGGAAAGAACACCGGUGGCGAAGGCGGCGACCUGGUCCUUGACUGACGCUGAGGCGCGAAAGCGUGGGGAGCAAACAGGAUUAGAUACCCCUGUAGUCCCUGUCUCUUAUAC
rnacentral:rRNA from 1 species